rnacentral:rRNA from 1 species
AUGAAUGAUGAAUAUUCCGCUCUUGUGAGAAACAAGACUUGGCACCUUGUACCAUUUGAGAGGGGAAGUAAUGUAAUAGAUUGCAAAUGGGUCUACAAGGUAAAGAAGAAAUCUGAUGGCACUAUUGACAGGUAUAAGGCACGUUUGGUUGCUAAAGGAUUUAAGCAAAGGUAUGGAAUUGACUAUGAGGACACCUUUAGUCCUGUCGUCAAAGCUGCUACCAUUAGAUUGAUCCUGUCUAUUGCCGUCUCAAGAAAUUGGUGUAUGCAACAGUUAGAUGUGCAGAACGCGUUUCUUCAUGGUGUUCUGGAAGAGAAAGUUUUCAUGAGGCAACCUCCAGGAUAUGAGGAUCCUGAAAAACCAGGGCAUGGUGUGGUUAUGUUUAUGCUCAUUUAUGUUGAUGACAUCAUUGUUACUAGUUCCUCGCCAAAGGCUGUUGAAGCACUUCUCCGUGAUCUACGAGAAGAUUUUGCCUUGAAAGACUUGGGCCAACUUCAUUACUUCCUUGGCAUAGAGGUAAAAAAGGUAACAAAUGGAAUAUUAUUGACUCAAGAGAAAUAUGUUGGAGAGAUACUGACAAGGAUAGGUAUGAAAAAUUGCAAGCCUGCUACAACACCUUUGUCUAUCUCUGAGAAAUUAUCAUUAACAGAGGGAGAGCCGCUUGGAAAUGAGGAUUCUACCAGGUAUAGAAGUAUAGUUGGUGCAUUGCAGUAUGUUACAUUAACUAGACCAGAUAUAUCUUUUUCUGUGAACAAGGUGUGUCAGUAUUUGCACCGUCCUACUUCUACACAUUGGACUGCUGUAAAAAGGAUUCUCAGAUACUUGAAGUUUACGUCAAGUCUUGGGUUGAAAUUGGCUAAGUCAAACUCUACACUUGUAAGUGCCUUUUCUGAUGCUGACUGGGCAGGUUGUCCAGAUGACAGAAGAUCUACAGGUGGUUUUGCAGUCUUUUUUGGUUGCAAUCUCAUUUCUUGGAGUGCUCGCAAACAUGCUACAGUGUCUAGAUCAAGUACAGAGGCUGAGUACAAGACACUGGCAAAUGGCACAGCUGAGGUAAUAUGGGUACAAACCUUGUUAAGUGAAUUGGAUGUUGAACAUUCAAAGUCUGCAUCAUUGUGGUGUGACAAUCUUGGAGCCACAUACCUAUCAGCCAAUCCGGUCUUUCAUGCAAGGACAAAACACAUUGAAGUGGAUUAUCACUUCGUUCGAGAAAGAGUGGCUAAUAAGUUACUUGAUAUUCGGUUUAUUCCCACAGGUGACCAAGUUGCAGAUGGCUUCACCAAAACAUUGUCUGUAAAACAGCUAGAGGCUUUCAGACACAAUCUCAACUUAGAUAAGUUGUGA